AAUAAGUGCAGUUUUGCACUAUUUAUGUCUAACGUUUGAUCGUUCGUUUUAUUUAAAUUUUUUUUUAUGAUUACUAUUUUUAUUGUUAUUAGAUGAUAAAACAUGAAUAAUAUUUCAGGUGUGACUAUUUUUUUUAUUUUUUUUCAUAAAAUUUUCAAAUAAGACGGAUUGUCAAACGUUGGACACGGAUUUUUACGGCUACACUUAUU
rnacentral:pre_miRNA from 1 species